CACGUAGGGUGCGAGCGUUGUCCGGAAUUAUUGGGCGUAAGAGCUCGUAGGCGGUGUGUCGCGUCGGCCGUGAAAACCUGCAGCUUAACUGUGGGCUUGCGGUCGAUACGGGCAUCACUGGAGUUCGGCGAGGGAGGACUGGAAUUCCUGGUGAUAGCGGUGAAAUGCGCAGAUAUCAGGAGGAACACCGGUGGCGAAGCGGGUCUCUGGGCCGAUACUGACGCUGAGGAGCGAAAGCGUGGGAGCGAACAGG
rnacentral:rRNA from 1 species